GACGAACGCUGGCGGCGUGCUUAACGCAUGCAAGUCGAACGGAAAGGCCCUGCUUUUGUGGGGUGCUCGAGUGGCGAACGGGUGAGUAACACGUGAGUAACCUGCCCUUGACUUUGGGAUAACUUCAGGAAACUGGGGCUAAUACCGGAUAGGAGCUCCUGCUGCAUGGUGGGGGUUGGAAAGUUUUGGCGGUUGGGGAUGGACUCGCGGCUUAUCAGCUUGUUGGUGGGGUAGUGGCUUACCAAGGCUUUGACGGGUAGCCGGCCUGAGAGGGUGACCGGCCACAUUGGGACUGAGAUACGGCCCAGACUCCUACGGGAGGCAGCAGUGGGGAAUAUUGCACAAUGGGCGGAAGCCUGAUGCAGCAACGCCGCGUGCGGGAUGACGGCCUUCGGGUUGUAAACCGCUUUCGCCUGUGACGAAGCGUGAGUGACGGUAAUGGGUAAAGAAGCACCGGCUAACUACGUG
rnacentral:rRNA from 1 species